CGGCCGCCGCGGGCACCGGAGUGCCGAGCCCAGGACGCCCCCGGCCCAGGCCCGCGGGGUGGACAAGUCCUUCACUCCUCGCUUGAGUGUGUGGAGGAGUGAUGGGCAGAACCAGCGCUUCCCCCAGGCACUAGACCUGCCACGAGUGGACUUGGUCUCCCUACACACUACUUCACUCUACCCAAAGAACACAGAUCUCUUUGAGAUGAUUGAAAAGAUGCAGGGAAGCAGGAUGGAUGAACAACGAUGCUCCUUCCCACCACCCCUCAAAACGGAGGAGGACUACAUUCCCUACCCAAGUGUCCACGAGGUCCUAGGGCGAGAAGGGCCCUUCCCCCUCAUCCUGCUGCCCCAGUUUGGGGGCUACUGGAUUGAAGGCACCAACCACGAGAUCACCAGCAUCCCGGAGACAGAGCCUCUGCAGUCUCCCACCACCAAGGUGAAGCUGGAGUGCAACCCCACAGCCCGCAUCUACCGCAAGCACUUUCUCGGCAAGGAACAUUUCAAUUACUACUCACUGGACACUGCCCUGGGCCACCUUGUCUUCUCACUCAAGUAUGAUGUCAUCGGGGACCAGGAGCACCUGCGGCUGCUGCUCAGGACCAAGUGCCGGACAUACCAUGAUGUCAUCCCCAUCUCCUGCCUCACCGAGUUCCCUAACGUGGUCCAGAUGGCAAAGCUGGUGUGUGAAGAUGUGAAUGUGGAUCGAUUCUACCCUGUGCUCUACCCCAAGGCUUCCCGGCUCAUUGUCACCUUUGAUGAACAUGUUAUCAGCAACAACUUCAAGUUCGGAGUCAUUUAUCAGAAGCUUGGGCAGACCUCCGAGGAGGAACUCUUCAGCACCAACGAGGAAAGCCCUGCCUUCGUGGAGUUCCUCGAAUUUCUUGGCCAGAAGGUCAAACUGCAGGACUUUAAGGGGUUCCGAGGAGGCCUGGAUGUGACCCACGGGCAGACGGGGACCGAGUCUGUGUACUGCAACUUCCGCAACAAGGAGAUCAUGUUUCACGUGUCCACCAAGCUGCCCUACACAGAAGGGGACACCCAGCAGUUGCAGCGGAAGCGGCACAUCGGGAAUGACAUCGUCGCUGUGGUCUUCCAGGAUGAGAACACGCCCUUUGUACCUGACAUGAUUGCAUCCAACUUCUUACACGCCUAUGUGGUGGUGCAGGCCGAGGCGGGGGGGCCCGACUGCCCCCUCUACAAGGUCUCUGUCACUGCCAGAGAUGAUGUGCCCUUCUUUGGGCCACCGCUCCCGGACCCCGCAGUGUUCAGGAAGGGGCCUGAGUUCCAGGAAUUUUUGCUGACAAAACUGAUCAAUGCUGAAUAUGCCUGCUACAAGGCAGAGAAGUUUGCCAAACUGGAGGAGCGGACCCGGGCUGCCCUCCUAGAGACGCUCUAUGAAGAACUACACAUCCACAGCCAGUCCAUGAUGGGUCUGGGCGGCGACGAGGACAAGAUGGAGAACGGCAGCGGUGGCGGCGGCUUCUUCGAGUCUUUCAAGCGGGUCAUCCGGAGCCGCAGCCAGUCCAUGGAUGCCAUGGGACUAAGCAACAAGAAGCCCAACACUGUGUCCACCAGCCACAGCGGGAGCUUUGCACCCAAUAACCCUGACCUGGCCAAGGCCGCUGGAAUAUCAUUGCUUAUUCCUGGGAAAAGUGCGAGUAGAUUCGGACGCCGGGGCAGUGCCAUAGGCAUAGGAACCGUGGAAGAGUCACUGAUUGUCCCUGGGAAGAGCCCCACGAGGAAGAAGUCAGGCCCGUUUGGCUCGCGCCGCAGCAGCGCCAUCGGCAUCGAGAACAUACAGGAGGUGCAGGAGAAAAGGGAGAGCCCUCCAGCUGGCCAGAAGACACCUGACAGCGGGCAUGUCUCACAGGAGCCCAAGUCAGAGAACUCCUCCACGCAGAGCUCCCCAGAGAUGCCAACGACCAAGAACAGAGCGGAGACUGCAGCCCAGAGAGCAGAAGUGCUGAAGGAUUUCUCCCGCUCCUCGUCCAGCGCCAGCAGCUUCGCCAGUGUGGUGGAGGAGACAGAGGGCGUGGACGGGGACGACACAGGCCUGGAGAGCAUCUCGUCCUCAGGGACUCCCCACAAGCGGGACUCCUUCAUCUAUAGCACGUGGCUGGAGGACAGCGUCAGCACCACAAGUGGGGGCAGCUCCCCAGUGAGGUGGCUCCCUCCUGCCCCCCUCCCCAGGCCCGUCGCGGUCACCUCAUCCAGAUGCCGGCAAGUCGGGGGACCCUGCAUGUCCGGAAAUCAAGAUCCAGCUGGAAGCGGCUGAGCAGCACGGUUCCCAGCUGGGCUGUUAGCCAGGCUCCCCUCGGAAGGUGACUGAGCAGAUGAGGCCGAAGAAGCACAAGGUGAAGAUGCUGUGUCAAAUCCAGGCAGAUGGGACCUCUGCCCCGCAAGGCCACCACCAGCCUGUGGGUUGCCCCCUGUCUCCCCAACCCUCCCUUUGGCCCACCAACUGGGCUGUCUCUGCAGGGCAGAGCCAUCCAGACCUGGGAGCAGGGAAGCUACUGGCAUCCUCCUCACCCCACCCCACCCCCAGUCUGGGGGCCCAGGCUGGGGCAGGGAGUGGUCAGUUGCAGCAAGACUCUAUGCCUGACUUGCCCUGACCUGGGCCCUCCAUCACACCUUGGUGCCCCCCAGACUCAGGGGAGCACGGUGCGGGGCUGAGAUCUCUCAGUGCGUACAGAGCCACAGGCAGCGGGACGUGAGAUGUGAUGGGAUGAGCCCUGGGCUGGGAGUCCUGAGUCCUGGCUUCUAAUCUGGGCUCUGCUGUGUGUCUCCGGGCUCGCUCUCCCUGGGCACCUGUGCUACAAACGGACACGAUUAUUUCAGAGGUCACUGAAGACUGUGAUUCCAUGCUCCUGCCCCAGAAUGGGGGACUAGCCUCCCAUCACUUUACCCUGCUUCUUGGGGUCCCUGGGACCCCAGGUGGGCUGAGGGACAGGGAGCUGGCUGUGCCUAUUGCCCCUCCUGGACCCUCAAGCCCUACCACAGACCUUCGGGUGCCCUGUCCACUGCCUCCACGUGACAGACAAGUGGCCCCCUUCUGGGAGGGAGGGGAACCGACCCGGCUCCCCAGCCAGCACCCAGCUUCACCUCUGCCAUUCCCUGUUCUCCGCACUGCAGGCUGAGGGGUCUCAGCUGGCCUGGAGUUACAGGUCUCGCCUUUGUGACCCCCAUUCCCGUGGAGGGGGCAGCCAGGCAUAGCUGCUGUGAGUCCACACUUGUGUGUGUCUGUCCACACUUUUUAGGCGCCACGCCAGAGGCCAGCCUUCCCGCCCCAACACCCAUUAGGGAAGCCCCCGUGGCCGUGUGUAUGUCGGUAACAGUUGUACAAAAUAAAUUCUAUUUAUCGCUA